rnacentral:rRNA from 1 species
AGCCAGACUCCUACGGGAGGCAGCAGUGGGGAAUAUUGCACAAUGGGGGAAACCCUGAUGCAGCGACGCCGCGUGAGUGAAGAAGUAUUUCGGUAUGUAAAGCUCUAUCAGCAGGGAAGAAAAUGACGGUACCUGAGUAAGAAGCCCCGGCUAACUACGUGCCAGCAGCCGCGGUAAUACGUAGGGGGCAGGCGUUAUCCGGAUUUACUGGGUGUAAGGGGAGCGUAGACGGCAGUGCAAGUCUGGAGUGAAAGGCGGGGGCUCAACCCCCGGACUGCUCUGGAACUGCGUGGCUGGAGUGCAGGAGGGGCAGGCGGAAUUCCUGGUGUAGCGGUGAAAUGCGUAGAUAUCAGGAGGAACACCGGUGGCGAAGGCGGCCUGCUGGACUGCAACUGACGUUGAGGCCCGAAAGCGUGGGGAGCAAACAGGAUUAGAUACCCUUGUAC